UACGAAGGGGGCUAGCGUUGUUCGGAUUUACUGGGCGUAAAGCGCACGUAGGCGGAUCGGUCAGUCAGAGGUGAAAUCCCAGGGCUCAACCCUGGAACUGCCUUUGAUACUGCCGAUCUUGAGUCUGGAAGAGGUGAGUGGAAUUCCGAGUGUAGAGGUGAAAUUCGUAGAUAUUCGGAGGAACACCAGUGGCGAAGGCGGCUCACUGGUCCAGAACUGACGCUGAGGUGCGAAAGCGUGGGGAGCAAACAGG
rnacentral:rRNA from 1 species